rnacentral:rRNA from 1 species
UACGUAGGGGGCAAGCGUUGUCCGGAAUCAUUGGGCGUAAAGCGCGUGUAGGCGGCUUGGUAAGUCUGCUCUGAAAGCCCGGGGCUCAACCCUGGGAGGCGGGUGGAUACUGCCGAGCUCGAGUCCGGAAGAGGCGAGUGGAAUUCCUGGUGUAGCGGUGAAAUGCGCAGAUAUCGGGAGGAACACCUAUGGCGAAGGCAGCUCGCUGGGACGUUACCGACGCUGAGACGCGAAAGCGUGGGGAGCAAACAGG